CCUACGGGAGGCAGCAGUGGGGAAUAUUGGGCAAUGGGCGCAAGCCUGACCCAGCAACGCCGCGUGAAGGAAGAAGGCUUUCGGGUUGUAAACUUCUUUUCUCAGGGACGAAGCAAGUGACGGUACAUGAGUAAUAAGCCACGGCUAACUACGUGCCAGCAGCCGCGGAAAUACGUAGGUGGCAAGCGUUAUCCGGAUUUACUGGGUGUAAAGGGCGUGUAGGCGGGAAAGCAAGUCAGAUGUGAAAGCCAUGGGCUCAACCUGGGGCCUGCAUUUGAAACUGUUUUUCUUGAGUGCUGGAGAGGCAGGCGGAAUUCCUGGUGUAGCGGUGAAAUGCGUAGAUAUUAGGAGGAACACCAGUGGCGAAGGCGGUCUGCUGGACAGCGACUGACGCUGAGGCGCGAAAGCGUGGGGAGCAAACAGGAUUAGAUACCCCUGUAGUC
rnacentral:rRNA from 1 species